rnacentral:rRNA from 1 species
UGCCGCCCUGAAGGGCGUAUGGUGGAUGCCUUGGCAGACAGUACCGAUGAAGGACGUUUGAGGAUGCGAUAAGCCUCGGGGAGCCUCCAACAUGGCUUCGAUCCGAGGAUUUCCGAAUGGGGCAACCCGCCGGCCGUCAUGGGCCGGCACGGAACCUUGUUGUUCCGGGGGUACGCAGGGAAGUGAAACAUCUCAGUACCUGCAGGAAGGGAUACUCCGUGAGUAGUGGCGAGCGAAAGCGGAUCAGACCAAACCAUGGGCGCGUGAUACCCGUCGGGGGUUGCGUCCGUGGUGUUGCGGGAGCGUGUGUCCCGGUUCCGACGGACCGGGCGGGAGUCAUAAAACGGCUUGCCAGGGGAACAGGCUUGAAGGCCUGGCCGCAGAGGGUGCCAGCCCCGUACCUGGAAGCUUGCCGUCUUCCGAUCACGUGUCCCAAGUAGCGCGGGCCUCGUGGAAUCCCGUGUGAAUCGGCCCCGACCGUGGGGUAAGUCUAAGCAUACCUGUCUGACCGAUAGCGUACCAGUACCGUGAGGGAAAGGUGAAAAGCACCCCGGGAGGGGAGUGAAAGAGUUCCUGAAACCGUGCGCCUACAAUCCGUCGGAGCCUCCUCAAGUGGGGUGACGGCGUGCCUAUCGAAAAAUGAGUCUGCGAGUCAGUGGUGCGUGGCGAGGCUAACCCGUCGUGGGGGAGCCGUAGCGAAGGCGAGUCUCAAAAGGCGUUUUGAGUCGCGUGCCCUGGACCCGAAGCGGGAUGAUCUAGCCCUGGGCAGGUUGAAGCGCGGGUAAGACCGCGUGGAGGACCGAACCCACCUGGGUUGAAAACCGGGGGGAUGACCUGGGGCUAGGGGUGAAAGGCCAAUCAAAUUCCGUGAUAGCUGGUUCUCUCCGAAAUGCAUUUAGGUGCAGCGUCGGUUGAUUGCAUCGCGGGGGUAGAGCUACUGGAUGCUUGCGGGCCCGUGUGGGGUACCAACAGCAGCCAAACUCCGAAUACCGUUGAUGUGUAUUCCGGCAGUGAGUCGGCGGGGGAUAAGCUCCGUCGUCGAGAGGGAGACAGCCCAGAUCGUCGUCUAAGGUCCCGAAGCGUGUGCUAAGUGGGAAAGGAUGUGGAGUCGCAUAGACAGCCAGGAGGUUGGCUCAGAAGCAGCCAUCCUUGAAAGAGUGCGUAACAGCUCACUGGUCUAGUGGUUCCGCGCCGACAAUGUAGCGGGGCUCAAGCACACCACCGAAGACGCGGCAGCGGCCUUUGUGGCCGCUGGGUAGGAGAGCGUCCCCCGAGGGGCGAAGCGGCGGCGGAAGCCGGCCGUGGACUUCGGGGGAGUGAGAAUGCAGACAUGAGUAGCGAGAGACGGGUGAGGAUCCCGUCCGCUGGAUGACCAAGGGUUCCGGGGCCACGUUCGUCGUCCCCGGGUGAGUCGGGUCCUAAGGCGAGGCCGACAGGCGUAGUCGAAUGGAUGAACGGGUGGAUAUUCCCGUACCGGCAGCGAACCGUCCGAACCGAACGGAUGAGUACUAACCUCCGGUCGCGUGGCGUCGUUCCCUUCGGGGUUCGGGGCGCGCGAUUGUUGGGAAUGUAGUCCUGGUAGGUUAGCGCACAGGGGUGACACGGAAUGGGAGCCGGCCGCGGAGGUGGUUUUCCGUGGUCAAGCACGCAGCCCGUCCCAUAGGCAAAUCCGUGGGACAUGCAGGGUGAGGUGCGAUGAUGGGCGCCUUUCAUGGCGCGAUAUCCGGUGGUCCAGGCCGUCGAGAAAAGCCUCGGCGCGAGGGGCGUUGCCGCCCGUACCCCAAACCGACACUGGUGGUCAGGUAGAGAAUACCAAGGCGAUCGAGCGAAUCCUGGUCAAGGAACUCGGCAAAUCACUCCCGUGCCUUCGGUAUAAGGGAGACCCCUGAUGGUGAUGGAACUUGCUUCCGGAGCUUUCGGGGGUGGCACAGACCAGGGGGUAGCGACUGUUUACCAAAAACACAGGUGCAUGCGAAGGCGCAAGCCGCUGUAUAUGCACUGACGCCUGCCCGGUGCCGGAAGGUUAAGAGGAUCCGUCAGCCCUCGGGCGAAGCGGUGAAUUCAAGCCCCGGUAAACGGCGGUGGUAACUAUAACCAUCCUAAGGUAGCGAAAUUCCUUGUCGGGUAAGUUCCGACCUGCACGAAUGGCGUAACGACUUCCCCACUGUCUCGACCAGGAGCUCGGCGAAAUUGCAGUACGAGUAAAGAUGCUCGUUAAGCGCAGAAGGACGAAAAGACCCCGGGACCUUUACUAUACCUUGGUAUUGGC